AUGAAUGCUGAUGCAUGCACUGGGCUCUGAGAAGUUUUAACCUCAACUUUUGAUGAAAAUGCACGGCCUUGAAAGCUAUUUCUGAUAC
rfam:Vigna angularis cultivar Jingnong 6 chromosome 10, whole genome shotgun sequence.